rnacentral:misc_RNA from 1 species
GUGGAAAGAAAAGGGCGAAAAAAAUUGUUCGUCCUGCUGAAAGUGACAUUUGCAAAAUUAAGUAUUCAAAAUCAAGAAUUGGGUUUCCUUCUUCUGCCUCUAUCUUCGAUGGAAAUCAGGAAGCUUUGCAACCUGUGGAGAUUGGUAAACAGUUAGGGCUCUCUUCCUCGAAUACUAAUGAAGCCAUCGUCUUUUUUUUUCUUGAUCAACUCAAUGCCGAUGAAGUGAUGCAUUCUAAUGCUAAAUGCUAAUUCCUUUGUUGUGUUCUUGGUGCUGUUCUCAGUUAGGAUUUCUCUUAUUGGAAAAUAACUCAUUUUGAUUUUCAAUGUGCCAUUAUAUGUGUCUAUGGGCCUGUUGACAUCCACUUGCAAGAAUGUCUUUGGAAUGAUUUGUUUCAGAUUCUUGCAGUCUCUAAAAAUCAGGUUUGGUUCAUUCUACUUUAGCAAUGGAAUUGUGUUUUAAGGGUCUUGAGAGAUGAUGUGAUGCAUGGCAUGAUUUGGUUUUAUUUCCAUUAUGGAGAUUGAUGGUUUGCAAACUUUUGGAAGAGAAAGGCCAGUGUUGAAAUUCGUUUUUAUUCAAAUUCGGUGAAGUGUUUUUUGGCCAAUUGCAAGAUGGGCAGCUUUAUGGCAACUUGCUUUGUAUUAAUGUUUUUGGAGCAAGAUUAACUUCUAAAGCUUGCCAGAGUAUCAGGAAGUGAGCAGUGGUUCGAUAGAGAAACUUCCUUGGAAUCAAGUGUAAAGGUUUAAAAUUCUUUUGUUUGUAGCAGAGAAGAAAGAAACUUGCACACGCUAAAAAUGGUCACUAGAAUAGUGGAUCUCUGGUCUAAAGUUGUUAUUGGGCACAAUUACCUCAUCCACAUUUAUGAGAAUUGAGGCAUUUCAACUCUUGGAGGUG